CCUACGGGAGGCAGCAGUGGGGAAUAUUGCACAAUGGGCGAAAGCCUGAUGCAGCGACGCCGCGUGAGGGAUGACGGCCUUCGGGUUGUAAACCUCUUUCAGCAGGGAAGAAGCGAAAGUGACGGUACCUGCAGAAGAAGCGCCGGCUAACUACGUGCCAGCAGCCGCGGUAAUACGUAGGGCGCAAGCGUUGUCCGGAAUUAUUGGGCGUAAAGAGCUCGUAGGCGGCUUGUCACGUCGGAUGUGAAAGCCCGAGGCUUAACCUCGGGUCUGCAUUCGAUACGGGCUAGCUAGAGUGUGGUAGGGGAGAUCGGAAUUCCUGGUGUAGCGGUGAAAUGCGCAGAUAUCAGGAGGAACACCGGUGGCGAAGGCGGAUCUCUGGGCCAUUACUGACGCUGAGGAGCGAAAGCGUGGGGAGCGAACAGGAUUAGAUACCCUGGUAGUCCACGCCGUAAACGUUGGGAACUAGGUGUUGGCGACAUUCCACGUCGUCGGUGCCGCAGCUAACGCAUUAAGUUCCCCGCCUGGGGAGUACGGCCGCAAGGCUAAAACUCAAAGAGUAGUGGACCGUGNGAGACGCGACGACGACGACGACGGAGGAGGAG
rnacentral:rRNA from 1 species